CGAGGUGUAGCGCAGUCUGGUCAGCGCAUCUGUUUUGGGUACAGAGUAGGUUCGAAUCCUGUCACCUUGG
rnacentral:tRNA from 5 species